rnacentral:rRNA from 1 species
AACGAACGCUGGCGGCAGGCUUAACACAUGCAAGUCGAGCGCACUCUUCGGAGUGAGCGGCAGACGGGUGAGUAACGCGUGGGAAUCUACCCAGCUCUACGGAAUAGCUCCGGGAAACUGGAAUUAAUACCGUAUACGUCCUUCGGGAGAAAGAUUUAUCGGAGUUGGAUGAGCCCGCGUUGGAUUAGCUGGUUGGUGGGGUAAAGGCCUACCAAGGCGACGAUCCAUAGCUGGUCUGAGAGGAUGAUCAGCCACAUUGGGACUGAGACACGGCCCAAACUCCUACGGGAGGCAGCAGUGGGGAAUAUUGGACAAUGGGCGCAAGCCUGAUCCAGCCAUGCCGCGUGAGUGAUGAAGGCCCUAGGGUUGUAAAGCUCUUUCACCGGGGAAGAUAAUGACGGUACCCGGAGAAGAAGCCCCGGCUAACUUCGUGCCAGCCGCCGCAGUAA